UACGUAGGGCGCAAGCGUUGUCCGGAAUUAUUGGGCGUAAAGAGCUCGUAGGUGGCUUGUCGCGUCGGGUGUGAAAGCUUGGGGCUUAACUCCAGGUCUGCAUUCGAUACGGGCUGGCUAGAGGUAGGUAGGGGAGAACGGAAUUCCUGGUGUAGCGGUGAAAUGCGCAGAUAUCAGGAGGAACACCGGUGGCGAAGGCGGGUCUCUGGGCCGAUACUGACGCUGAGGAGCGAAAGCGUGGGGAGCGAACAGG
rnacentral:rRNA from 1 species